ensembl:miRNA mir-83 ncRNA
UAGCACCAUAUAAAUUCAGUAA